UUCCGGGUGAUGAAGAAAAUCGUUCGGAUUCCCACUGAUAUUUCAUAAUUAGUGUAACCAGCUACUUCUGAUCCAU
rnacentral:snoRNA from 1 species